GGCUUUAUAGUCAAUUAUGAUAUUAGACUGCAAUUCUAAAGGAGCAUGUUUAUUGCUAAGGCUU
rnacentral:tRNA from 1 species